rnacentral:rRNA from 1 species
GGGGGGGGGGGGGGGGGGGCGGGGGGGGGGCAGGGGGAGCGGGGAGGCGCGGCAGGUGGGGGGGGCUCGGGGGGCGACCGGGGGAGUAACGCGAGGGUCGCCGGCCCUGGACGGUGGGAUAAGUUCAGGGAGCGGGGGCGACUACCGGAUAGGCGCGCGUCCUGCAUGAUGGGGGUGGGCAAUUUUCGGCGGUUGGGGAUGGACUCGCGGCUUAUCAGCGUGUUGGUGGGGUAGUGGCUUACCAAGGCUUUGACGGGUAGCCGGCCUGAGAGGUUGACCGGCCACAUUGGGACUGAGAUACGGCCCAGACUCCUACGGGAGGCAGCAGUGGGGAAUAUUGCACAAUGGGCGGAAGCCUGAUGCAGCAACGCCGCGUGCGGGAUGACGGCCUUCGGGUUGUAAACCGCUUUCGCCUGUGACGAAGCGUGAGUGACGGUAAUGGGUAAAGAAGCACCGGCUAACUACGUG